rnacentral:rRNA from 1 species
UACGGGGGGAGCAAGCGUUGUUCGGAUUUACUGGGCGUAAAGGGCGCGUAGGCGGUCGUGACAAGUCACUUGUGAAAUCUCCGGGCUUAACUCGGAACGGUCAAGUGAUACUGUCGGACUAGAGUACAGAAGGGGCAACUGGAAUUCUUGGUGUAGCGGUGAAAUGCGUAGAUAUCAAGAGGAACACCUGCGGCGAAGGCGGGUUGCUGGGCUGACACUGACGCUGAGGCGCGAAAGCCAGGGGAGCGAACGGG